ACCAGGAGUGGAAUCUGCGGCUUAAUUUGACCCAACGCGGGAAAACUCACCAGGUCAGGACACGGUAAGGAUUGACGGACUGAAGGCUCUUUCUCGAUUCCGUGGAAAGUGGUGCAUGGCCGUUUUUGGUUGGUGGAUCGAUCCGUCUGGUUAAUUCCGUUUAACGAACGAGACCUCGGCACUCCGAAUAGCGCGGCGGACGUCGCGGCCUCCGGGCCGUCUUCCGCACGAGCUUCUUAGAGGGACCGUCCCCCGCCGGGGAAGGAGGUGCGAGGCAACGACAGGUCUGUGAUGCCCUUAGAUGUUCUGGGCCGCACGCGCAUUACACUGACGCGUCCAACGGGUGACUCCCGACCCGAAGGGGCCGGGGAAUCCGCAAGGCGCGUCGUGAUGGGGAUUGAACGUUGCAAUUGUUGUUCACGAACGAGG
rnacentral:rRNA from 1 species